UUGGUGUCUCUUCCAUAGAUCGUACCUUGAU
rnacentral:piRNA from 1 species